CGAUCCCAAACUUUAUACUACUGUAUUUCAGGUGUAAUUCAAAAGGGUGCAUCCGAUGGAAACUUUACUAUUCCAUGAGGCCACAGAAAAGGAGCUGUGAAUGGCAAUUUUCACUGCUGUUAUUCUCAUGUUGAGCAGUAGGGGAGUGUUUUUCCUGGUGUCCAGCCACAUUUCUCCCACUAAUUUUCCCAGCAUAGUUGUAUUUCCCACCACAUGGCCUGCAUGGACAUCCAGCUCUGUCUAUAGAAUUGCCCAGAGGACCAGGACUAUAUUUAGACCAGUUGAGUUUCUCCAUUCAGAACCCUUUGUUUUGCACAAAUAUAGCUCUAAAUAAUUAAAUAAAUUACAAUACCAUUCAAAAGUUUGGGGUUAUUUUAAAAGGAAAUUAAUAUCUUAGCUUAGGAAUCAUUAAACAUUUUUUGAAUGGUGUUGUAUAGGGAUAUUUAUGUAAAUAAAUAAAUUUAUGUAUUUAUGUACAGUAGUUGUUUUAUUAGUACCUUUUACUGUACAUAUUGUUUGUAGCAGCAACUUUUCAGCCAUUUAAGGCCCACUCAAGAUUUAGGACUAAAUGGAAUAAAUCUCCCUUAUGAAAUCUGUUUUUGCAUGUUAAACUGACAGCACCUUUCCUUCAUUUUGCUUCACUUUAUUGGUGCUGAAAUAGCAGUCUGGCUCUCUCGCUCUCACCGUAUGUAGAAAAUGAUGUGCAGGUGGAGAAAAGAGAUGAAGUGCCUCGUACAUCAGAGAGCUUAAAAAACAAAAGAUCAUUUGGGUAAAUGAAGGUAGAGGCCUCAUUUAUCUUGCUUAUGGCACAAUCAUUCAGACUAUGAGUCCAACACUGUCAGUACUAGUUCACAUGCUCAAAAAAUUGGUACAUGAUGCGCCAUGAGUAUGUGAAUUAUAUUCUCGAAAUGAGGUUAGAAAGCAUUGCGUGUUCAGUUAUACCUGUGGCCUCAUUUGGAUUGGAUUGUGCCUACAGUACAUAGUUUUCAUGUGAUCCACCAGCAUGCAAAAUGUGAUGUUUGAAAUGUGAUCUCUCAUAAUGCAUGAUAGAAGAAUAAACAUGUUUACACUGUGAAAUGUGACUCUAAUGAGUCCUAAACAAGGCACGCUUACUUACAUUCUGUUUUCUAGACUAUUGUUAUGUUUGAACUUUUUAUUUGAGUAUUUUGUGGAUCUCUGAAGAAUUCAAUUGAAAGUCUGUUUCAGUUGCUCAAGCCACAGGGGCUGUUGUCUUUGUCUGUUCUUAAUUUCUGGAAGAAAAUAAAGAAAGAAAUUAUCUGUUUCCCCACAAGUGGACUUGACCACCUGAGAGAGUAAGAGGUGACUAACGCUUGCGAUACUUUUGACGGAGAGGACUCUCUGUUCUCUAGAAGAAUUUGCUAUCAGCUGUGUGUGUGUGUGUGUGUGUGUGUGCGUGUGUGCGUGUGUGUGUGUGUGUGCGUGUGUGUGUGUGUGAUAGGGCUGAACUAUAAGGAUGACCUGCUUGCCUGGGCCAGACUGAGAGAAUUUUGAUACUGUAGCACAUUUUUGUACGCUGUAAAAAAAUAUCCUAUUAAAUUUUCUGGAAAAAAUGACAGCUGUGGAUGGAUGGUGCACAGGGUUAUAAACACAAGUGAAAAAAAUACACUCCG